UGUCUGGGAAACUGCCUGAUGGAGGGGGAUAACUACUGGAAACGGUAGCUAAUACCGCAUAACGUCGCAAGACCAAAGAGGGGGACCCUCGGGCCUCUUGCCAUCGGAUGUGCCCAGAUGGGAUUAGCUUGUUGGUGGGGUAACGGCUCACCAAGGCGACGAUCCCUAGCUGGUCUGAGAGGAUGACCAGCCACACUGGAACUGAGACACGGUCCAGACUCCUACGGGAGGCAGCAGUGGGGAAUAUUGCACAAUGGGCGCAAGCCUGAUGCAGCCAUGCCGCGUGUAUGAAGAAGGCCUUCGGGUUGUAAAGUACUUUCAGCGGGGAGGAAGGGAGUAAAGUUAAUACCUUUGCUCAUUGACGUUACCCGCAGAAGAAGCACCGGCUAACUCCGUG
rnacentral:rRNA from 2 species